AUUUUGAAAACUGAAUUAUCUCACGUUUAAUUUUUUUUUAAACAGAUUUUCUUUUCUGUCUUCUUUCAAGAGUCGAUGGCUUCCUCUUUUCCACCAUGUGAGCCUCUUUCCUUCGUGGCCUCCUCUCUUCCCCCAGAAGUGUUGAGGAGAAAGCAUUUGCUGCUGUAUGUCACAGGGCUAGACAUCACCACGAAGACAUUUUGGUUCUUAAACCUGUUUAUGAAGCUACCAGGAAGGACGAUAAGUACAAGAUUGUAUGGAUUCCCAUUGUGGAGCAAUGGACUGAAGAGCUGAAGAAAAAGUUUGAAAGCCUUAGAGUCAAGAUGCCAUGGUAUGUCGUCCAGUACUUGUCACCCAUUGCAGGUUUGAAGUUCAUCAAGCAGGAGUGGAACUAUAAGGGCAAGCCUACCCUAGUUGUGAUGAGCCCUCAAGGGAAAAUUGAAAACUUCAAUGCCCUUCACCUCAUUCGUGUCUGGGAAUUAGGACCUCCCCUUUCAAAAAAGCUGUCGAAGAAGACUUAUCCAAGGAGCUCACCUGGAUUGGUCCUGUGGUGACUAACAUUCACCCCAGUAUACCAACUUGGAUCAAAGAGGAGAAGUAUAUCUUCUACGGAGGGAAGGACAACGAUUGGAUCUAACAGUUCACAAAGAGAGCCACUCUGCUUGUAAAUGAUCCCUUCAUCAAGGACACCUUAAAGAUCCACAUUGAUUGUUCUGCGUUGGAAAGACAGCCAAAGGAGGAGAGGACCACGACAUCUUGGGCAAGUUCUGGAGCGGAAUAGAGAGCUUGUUCUUCAACAAGGCUCACAAGCAAGCUAUGGACCCUGUGACUCAAGGGGUCCAGAAGCUGCUCUCCUACAAGAACGAGUGGCUGGGCUGUUUUAGGUAUUUGAAUUGCUGUAUGGACUAAUGUGAUUUGAUGCCUAAAAUGUCUUUUCACUUCUGUCUCCUUUAAAUGGUUUUUUUAUUAACAUGUUGAUUAUGUGAAGCUAUUUGCUGCAUGAUAUCAUGGUAUGGGUGGUAAUUUGUGAAAGUAGUCUUACGUGAGCCUAUGUGUGUGAUGAUGAUGAUAGAGAUCAAUCAUCAAUGCCUGAUGCAAAAUUUAGAUGAUAAUAAUCUGAUGAAUCUUAUGAUUAACAUUGCGUGUGGACUUAGUGUUCUACUGUUAUUAAUAGAUUGAUAAUAAGAUUGUUUUAUAAUGCUUAAUUUUGGGUUAUAAUUUAUCUUUGCAUUCUUUUUAUCAGCUUAGUUGGUGUAGUUAAUAUAUCUCAUGUUCGUUGGUUAAUGUGUCAUUGUUAUCAUCACCAGUGAUUUAUAACAGUAGAUAGUGCAUCCUAUAAUUUAUCCUUAGUUUUUGGGUUUCAUGUUAGAUAACAAGGAUCCAUUGUAUUAAUAUAUAUAUAUAUAUAUAUAUAUAACAUGAAAUGAAAAUAAUUAAUAGAGGCCUAGACAUAAACAACAUUACAAAAAAAAAAGCUAUGCUGAGAACACUAUACCGAAAAGGUAUAUACAUUUUCAGAUGCGCGGGACCUUUUCGCAGUUUCUCGGUAUAGGUUCAAUAAAUAUCCCCAGCACGCGACCCCCGCUUCUUCUUCCUCUCUUUCCCUCAGUUUUUACAGACUGAAAGCCUCCCAUUUCUUCUUCGCCUCUCCCCACCGAAUUUGUUAUGCCCCGACUACCUGCAAGAGAGUUAGCAAACCAAUAGAACAGUACAAAGAGACAGCAGAGAGAAAUUGUGGCUAAAACCUGUAGAAAUUGUAUCUCAAUUCAGCAACCAAACAGUACAACUUUCCACAGGUAUUCGAGGGCCUGGGACCCUCCUAUGCAGUAAGCAGAUUCUAGCUCAAGCAUACCCCACUCACUGACCUCCCCACUACCUAUAUUGGCUCACUCUCUUUCUGUUACAGCAAUGACCAAAAAGCCCCUGACCCAACCGAAAGACUACCUUACCCCUUAUGUGUUGACCUGGCUCUCCUAGCAUAAGUGAACCGUAUGUCAGUCCUAACAUUACCCCCCCUAUAUCUCGAACCUUGUCCUCAAGGUUAAAUGCUGGAAACUGGUGUCGAAUGGAGUCAAACUUCUCCCAUGUGGCUUCGAACAUGGGUAGAUCCUUCCAUUUAAUCAACACUUCGAGCUGUCUUCUUGCGCCGUCUGUGGUGUAGCGUACGUUGAGUAAGUCCUCCGGUUCCACAAUCAAUUCCAAGUCAGCAGUGAUGGUGGGAGGCAAGGUGGGAGAUGAAUGCGCUGUGCCAACAAUCGCUCUGAGCUGGGAUACAUGGAAAACGGGGUGGAUGGCAGAAGAUGCUGGCAAAUCAAGGCGAUAGGCAACGGGGCCGAUCCUAGACAACACCUUAAAUGGCCCAUAAAAGCGUGUUGCCAGUUUUUCGCUCUACCGAAUCGCUAAGGAUUUCUGUCUGUAUGGGCGCAGCUUGACGAACACCGAGUUCCCCUCCUGAAACUCCACUGGUCGCCGAGAUAAAUCAGCCGCUGCCUUCAUCCGCUGCUGUGCCCUCAACAAAUGCAUCUUCAAAUCAUCUAAAAAAGCGUCUGUCUUCCAGCAACUGUUCGACUGCCGCAGCGGUAGUGGUGCCAUUCUCAUAGCGAAGCAAAGAAGGUGGAUCACGACCAUACGAAACCUUGAACGGGGUGCACCCCAAGGCUGAAUGGAAUGUAGUAUUGUACCAAUAUUCAGCCCAAGACAGCCAUUUCGCCCAUACGCGAGGCUUCUCCGAAGCGAAACAACGUAGAUAAGUUUCAAGGCACCUGUUUGUAACGUCCUGCAUUUUCGGGUACCUUUAAACGACUCGGGUCGGGAUUUUUCCCCCGGGUUAAGAAUAUUAUUUUAAAUAAUAUUAUAUUUUGUUUGUAAGUAUUCCAUGAGUUAUUGCUAGCCAAAAUAUGAAUUUUGUGAUUUUAAAAGUCAAGAUAAGACUUUCGGUCCUGGACCGACACAAAAACCCUGAUCGGGUAAAAAUCUCGGAAAAUAAAACGAAAAAUCAUGACAAUUAUAUUUUGGGCAUAAAAUACAUUCAUAAAAGUUAAAGUUUGGUCAAAAAUAAUAAACCUAAAAGAAAAUGGAAAUUUUAGGGCAUUUUGUGUUAAAUGCCUAAUUCUACCGAAAUGGGGAAUUUUAUUCCAUGAAUGGACCUUAGGUUAAAUUUUAUUAUGUGAUUAAUUAAAUUAAAUGUGAGAGACAUUUAAUUUAAUUAAUUAAUGUUAAGUUUGGUGAUUAAAACUUAAUAAGAGUGAAAAAGGUGUCAAAAGUCAAUUUGGACUUUUAUUCUUAUGAAACCUUUUUUAACCUUUAUUAAAAAAAAAUAAAAAAUGAAAUGAUUAUAUAUAGCAAGGGUUGGCCGGCCAUGUGGUGUUUUAGGUGGUGUGAACCCAACUUAAUAAAGAUAAAUCUCAUUUUAACUAAGUCAAGUCAAGUGGGCAAGUGGGCAAGUGGGAGGAAAACACUUGAGUGUUUUUGAGAUAAAUUAGAUACCAUAAACUCUUCUAACCCCCCUAAGAAACCGACCACUCUCCCUCUCUCAUUCACUAUCAUCUUUUUUGAAGACCUCUCAAAGUGUUCUCUCAAUAUUCAACCUCAAGAACACCAAGGAAAACUUGGAGGCUAAGUCUUGGUCUAGGAAGUAUUUUCCCUAAGGUAAAGCUUCACUAAUCUAGGCUUUUGUAAAGUUUUAAGCUUAGAGUUUCAAAUAGCUAAUUAACUAUGUUGUUGGGGGAAGUUGGUUAGGGUUUUUGAAAGGUUUUGGAGGAGCCAAAGCUAAUAGGAAGGCCCAAACCUUAAGCAAGAACACCAAAGAGGUAAGAACAAGGGCAAGGCAGAGCAGUGAGCGCUGGAGUCUUCCUUGCAAAUGUACAUGUGGACCGACCUUUUGGGAAGCCUUUUUAUUUUUGGAAAUGUUGUGUAAUUUUCCUAAACUAGGCUCACUCUAAUCUUUAUAAAACAUGUUUGUAAUUAAAUGUUAAGUAUGGCCAUACGACUUUUUAAAAAGUUUUUUUUUCUA